rnacentral:rRNA from 1 species
GGAUGAACGCUGGCGGCGUGCCUCAAACAUGCAAGUCGAGCGGGGCUAUGUUGGACCGUAAGGGAAGAUAUAGCCUAGCGGCGAACGGGUGAGUAACACGUGGGUAACCUACCUGGAAGACAGGGAUAACGAUUCGAAAGGGUCGCUAAUACCUGAUAAUAUCUAACAGUCGGAUGGCAGUUAGAAGAAAGGGGAAACCCGCUUUCAGAUGGGCCCGCGUCCCAUCAGCUAGUUGGUAUGGUAAAGGCUUACCAAGGCGACGACGGGUAGCCGGUCUGAGAGGAUGUACGGCCACACUGGGACUGAGAUACGGCCCAGACUCCUACGGGAGGCAGCAGUGGGGAAUAUUGGGCAAUGGGGGAAACCCUGACCCAGCGACGCCGCGUGGGUGAAGAAAUCCUUCGGGAUGUAAAGCCCUGUUGUAUGGGAAGAGCGGAAGACGGUACCAUACGAGGAAGCCCCGGCAAACUACGUGCCAGCAGCCGCGGUAAUACGUAGGGGGCAAGCGUUGUCCGGAAUUACUGGGCGUAAAGCGCACGCAGGCUGAAUUAUAAGUCGGUAGUCAAAGGCGGAGGCUCAACCUCUGUAUAUCUAUCGAUACUGUAAAUCUGGAGUAUGUGAGAGGGAAGCGGAAUUCCCGGUGUNNNGGUGAAAUGNNUNGAUAUCGGGAGGAACACCAGUGGCNNNNGCGGCUUCCUGGCACAAUACUGACGCUCAUGUGCGAAANNNNAGGGCAGCGAACGGGAUUAGAUACCCCGGUAGUCCUAGCCGUAAACGAUGGAUACUAGGUGUGGGUGUCGCAGGGCAUCCGUGCCGCAGUUAACGCGUUAAGUAUCCCGCCUGGGGACUACGGUCGCAAGACUGAAACUCAAAGGAAUUGACGGGGGCCCGCACAAGCGGUGGAGCACGUGGUUUAAUUCGAUGCAAACCGAAGAACCUUACCUGGGUUUGACAUGCAGGUGGUAGUGAAAUGAAAGUGGAACGACCUUGCAGCGAUGUAAGGAGCCUGCACAGGUGCUGCAUGGCUGUCGUCAGCUCGUGUCGUGAGAUGUUGGGUUAAGUCCCGCAACGAGCGCAACCCCUAUUGCCAGUUGCUAACAGGAGAGCUGAGCACUCUGGCGAGACUGCCGCCGACAAGGCGGAGGAAGGUGGGGAUGACGUCAAGUCAUCAUGGCCUUUAUGCCCAGGGCUACACACGUGCUACAAUGGCCGGCACAGACGGCAGCUUAGUGGCGACACUUGGCCAAUCCUCCAAAGCCGGUCCCAGUUCGGAUUGCAGUCUGCAGCUCGACUGCAUGAAGUCGGAAUCGCUAGUAAUCGCAGAUCAGCAAAGCUGCGGUGAAUACGUUCCCGGGCCU